UUUUAUUUUGUUUGUGGUUUUAUGACAAUGUGCGGGUUUAAAAAUGAUAUUAUUUAAACGCUUAGUUUAGUCAUUCUUGACAAAAUGUGUGUUGGAGAUCAUAGUGUUUCCUAACGAGCGGGUUUUUUAAUAUAGAGUGAUACAAUACACGUGCUCGACCUUUUGCUGUCUCCUGUUACUGAAUUGUGAAUGUCAUUUGAUAUGUAAGUGUG